CUAAGACGAGGAUAACGACUGGAAACGUCGCUAAAACUGGAUAGGAUCAUUUGAGGCAUCUCGAAUGAUUUAAAGGGGCUUUCAAGCCACACUUAGAGAAAGGCCUGCGGCGCAUUAGCUAGUUGGUGGGGUAGAGGCCUACCAAGGCGAUGAUGCGUAGCCGGACUGAGAGGUCGAACGGCCACAUUGGGACUGAGACACGGCCCAAACUCCUACGGGAGGCAGCAGUAGGGAAUUUUCGGCAAUGGGGGAAACCCUGACCGAGCAACGCCGCGUGAAUGAAAAGACGUAUUUCGGUAUGUAAAGUUCUUUUAUUAAGGAAGAAUAUCACGGAUAGGAAAUGAUCUGUGAGUGACGGUACUUAAUGAAUAAGCCCCGGCUAACUAUGUGCCAGCCGCCGC
rnacentral:rRNA from 1 species